rnacentral:tRNA from 1 species
AUCUGGAGCUCAGUGGUAGAGCGCUUGCCUAGCAUGUGAGGCACUGGGUUCAAUCCUCAGCACCACACA